GGUGAGCGGGAGAUCAAGGUCCGGUGUCAAAAUCUUCUCCCCCUGGAAACUUUCGAGUUGAAGGAGGACAUCCUUUUGCGUUUGUCAGGUCUCUGUGCAGGGAGCGGGGGUCUUGUUUUUCUCCCACAUUUUAGAAGAAAACACACCUCGAUCUCACAACCGAAUGCUCCCACCCCUGCGCGGCUUUGAGUUCCAGAGCGGCCUCUAGCUUCCGAGAACGCCUGGUGACUCCCCCAGACGUCGUUCGAAAAACCAUCUGAAGUCUCCAACUCCAUCGGCGAACCGCAAACCUUCGUCCCGGUGCCCCACACCCGGGUCCCCAAAGUCCUAACCGAAAGAUCCCCGGAGCUGACCUGUCCACCAAAACGCCGCUGAUCAAUGCCCCCGGUUUCUCUCCAAACGCACCCAAACCGAGAGCUCAUCUACCUUUUCAGCAACCAACAAAACCCGGGGGGAGUGGGGGGAGUUUAUCAACCCUGCCUCUUGCACGUUCCCCCUGCAGCUCCGAGCACUGAAUAUUAAAAUCGCCACGGAGAGCGUUUUACUUUUCUCUGGAGGGCACCGCUUGUAACCAUCGAUAGC